UACGAAGGGGGCUAGCGUUGCUCGGAAUCACUGGGCGUAAAGGGUGCGUAGGCGGGUUUGUAAGCCAGAUGUGAAAUCCCCGGGCUUAACCUGGGAAUGGCAUUUGGGACUGCAAGGCUUGAGUGCGGCAGAGGAGACUGGAAUUCCUGGUGUAGCAGUGAAAUGCGUAGAUAUCAGGAGGAAUACCGAUGGCGAAGGCAGGUCUCUGGGCUGACACUGACGCUCAUGCACGAAAGCGUGGGGAGCAAACAGG
rnacentral:rRNA from 1 species